GUUUUAGUAGUUUAAAUAAAACUUUGGUCUUGUAAACCAAGAAUGAUUUAAUAAUCCUAAACCA
rnacentral:tRNA from 1 species